rnacentral:rRNA from 1 species
GACGAACGCUGGCGGCGUGCUUAACACAUGCAAGUCGAACGGUGAAGCGCCUUCCUUUUUGGUGGGUGUGGAUGAGUGGCGAACGGGUGAGUAACACGUGAGUAACCUGCCCCCUUCUUCUGGAUAACCGCAUGAAAGUGUGGCUAAUACGGGAUAUUCUGGGUCUGUCGCAUGAUGGGUCUGGGAAAGAUAUUGUUUCGGUGGGGGAUGGGCUCGCGGCCUAUCAGCUUGUUGGUGGGGUGAUGGCCUACCAAGGCGGUGACGGGUAGCCGGCCUGGGAGGGUGGGCGGUAAGAGUGGGGAGGAGAGGCGGCCCAGACUGCGGGGGGAGGCAGCAGGGGGGAGUAUUGCAGGAGGGGCGGAAGGCUGAAGCAGCGACGCGGCGGGGGGGAUGGGGGGCGGCGGGUUGUGAACGUCUGUCGCGAGUGAAGCGGGGCUGCCUCGUGUGUGGGUGGGUUGACGGUAGCUGGAUAAGAAGCGCCGGCUAACUACGUG